ACUGAUCUAAACUGACCGGAUUACCCUGGUUUACAUGAUCAAUAUCAUCUGAUAACUGAUCAGAUUAUUAGUGUGGACGUAAACGGACUCAGUGUAGAAAUGAACCCGGUAGAUCUGCCUCUAA